rnacentral:snRNA from 1 species
UGUCUCACGAAGAAACCGAGUUU